AAAGGAAUUGACGGGGACCCGCACAAGCGGUGGAGUAUGUGGUUUAAUUCGAUGCAACGCGAAGAACCUUACCAGGGCUUGACAUCCCGCGAACCUCUGAGAAAUCGGAGGGUGCCUUCGGGAACGCGGAGACAGGUGGUGCAUGGCUGUCGUCAGCUCGUGUCGUGAGAUGUUGGGUUAAGUCCCGCAACGAGCGCAACCCACGUUUUUAGUUGCCAGCAUUCAGUUGGGCACUCUAGAAAGACCGCCGGUGAUAAACCGGAGGAAGGUGUGGAUGACGUCAAGUCAUCAUGCCCCUUACGUCCUGGGCUACACACGUACUACAAUGCUACGGACAAAGGGCAGCAAACUCGCGAGAGCUAGCAAAUCCCAUAAACCGUGGCUCAGUUCAGAUCGUAGGCUGCAACUCGCCUACGUGAAGGAGGAAUCGCUAGUAAUCGCAGGUCAGCAUGUCGCGGUGAAUACGUUCCCGGGUCUUGUACACACCGCCCGUCACACCA
rnacentral:rRNA from 1 species